rnacentral:rRNA from 1 species
GACAGAGGGUGCAAACGUUGCUCGGAAUCACUGGGCAUAAAGCGCACGUAGGCCGUUCACUAAGUCCAAUGUGAAAUCCCCCGGCUCAACCGGGGAACUGCAUCGGAUACUGGUGGACUCGAGAGUUGUAGGGGUGGACGGAACUCCAGGUGGAGCGGUGAAAUGCGUAGAUAUCUGGAGGAACACCGGAGGCGAAAGCGGUCCACUGGGCAACUUCUGACGCUGAGGUGCGAAAAGCUGAGGGUACGCAAACGGG